rnacentral:rRNA from 1 species
UACAGGGAGUGCGAACGUUGUUCGGAAUUACUGGGCUUAAAGCGCACGUAGGCGGCGCCGCAAGUGCGGGGUGAAAUCCCACGGCUUACCCGUGGAACUGCCUUGCAGACUGUGGUGCUAGAGGAUGGUAGGGGAGAGCGGAACUCCUGGUGGAGCGGUGAAAUGCGUAGAUAUCAGGAGGAACACCGGUGGCGAAGGCGGCUCUCUGGUCCAUGACUGACGCUGAGGUGCGAAAGCUAGGGGAGCAAACGGG